GCACUUGGUUUAUACAAACUACCAGUGAAACCAGAAGUUGCAUUAUUUGAACAAAGUAUAUUACAUGUUGGGUUCAUGUUGUCUACUUGGUUUGAAGAACAAAAUUAGUUGUGCUGCUUUCAAACAAUUAUGUUCAGCAAAUUGCUCUCUCAAAUAUUUUACAAUUAAUUUUAGAUUUUUUUCUGACUUGAAUUAGUAAAUUGUCUCAAGCUUGUUUUGAAAGAAAAAAGCUGCACGCAGUCAUUUGUUCCGUCUUAUCUCUUUGGUCUGAGAUCUGACGCUUGCUCAUUUCUGAGUGAAGUCAAUUCCUUAAUUGUUGUACAUACAAUUUUGUGUAUGUGUUCUUUGUUGGUGGUUUGGUGGUGGGUUUUCUGAGUGAAAUUUGCUGACUUGCACAGAUUUGUCUAAUUACAGGUGGUUGUUGAAUAUAUUUAAAUGGCAGCUGGGUGUCCUUAGAAAAUAAACACACAACGUUCAUAUUCUGAACCAUGUUCAGUUGCUUAUGUGGCAUUGCCUAUAGAGACCAGCUGUCCCACGUGCAUGCACAUCAAGCCAGGACUCUUUAGAUGGUUCAUGACCCAAUAAAGAGAGCCAAAGCAAGACAGUGGGAAAGUUAACUUCUUUGCUUUUAGCUGCUCCUAUAGGACAGCAAAUACUGACUCAGCACAAAAGCCUCAGCUGCUUCAGAAACCGCUUGGAAUGUUUGGCUGUGACUUGUCAGCUAAGCAGCUUCCAUAAGAAGGCUUCCUUUUCUUGCCAAACCUUCAUGUAUUGGAACAAAGCUUGUUUCAGAGCAGGCUUUGUCUUCAUUUAGCUUGGUUAUUAACUUAGGGAGAUUAAGAAAAGAUACAGAGACAGACUUCAAAAAAGGGGCUUUGUUGGCCUGCUGAAGGGUGAGAAUUAAAGCCACAAUGAAAAAGAAUGGAGAAUAAAAUAAAACUGUGAAACAAAAUGUUGGUGGAGGAAAGAUCUUUCGCUCUGAGCUGCAGUCACAUGCUACAGUACAAUCUUUUAUAGCAUAAUGUUUCCAGAAGCUGGCUUUUCCAAACGGGUUAUUGUUGCACUGAGAUGAAAUUAUUCUUAUUUAGUUUCAUACUCUAGUAUCUGAGAGAGAUACAAUGGGAAGGAAUAUUCAGAUUGUGGUUUUCAAAAGGGAUGUUGACACCUAUCAGUUGCUUGUGCAAAUUUUCAUUUGCACGUCCUUGAUUUAUAAAAGAAAACAUUCUGUUCACAGAUUGCAUCCUGUUCUGUUAUUAAAUUGAAUGUAUUUAAUCUUGGCCUUACAGAAUUUGAAUGCUCCUGAAUGGCUACAAAUCAUGUAUUUAAAGAGCAUCUUGAGUAAGUAAAUUCCUUAAUGUUUUUAAUAUAUAUUGUCUAGAACAAUAGAGGCAUCCUGGAGUUAAUACAUAUAUGUGUGUGGCAGAUGCAAGGCCUGCAUGAGGAUGUUCAAAUCCACAUCAAGGCUUGUAUCAGCUCAGCAUGAUACAGCAGUCGAGACUGGCUGUUUGCAGAGCAUUGGCCAGCAUUAACAAAAAUAAAAAAAUUAAAAAAAAAAUGCUGGGUUUGCAUUCCACAGUGCUGUUGUAAGUCUGCAUCUGUAAACCUUCCUUCAUGUGGGUGCACAUCAUUCUUCAAGCACAUCCUUGGUUUAGACUAACUGUGACUCACAUGGAUAAUGUGUUAAUCUGACAGCUAAUCUUGUUAAAAGAUGGAUUAACUACUCUGUGCACAUGACAGAAUAUCUAGCAAGGAGCAUGAUUUUCCUUUUCAAAUACUCUGUUUUCUUCUGGUGGAGUCCUUUUACUCACAGGGACCAUCUGCUGAUCAAGAAUGGGCUGUACUUACUACUGCUUCUUGAAAAAAAGGUGAUUCCUUAUGUCCAUAUAACUUCAAAAAUCUUCCUGAGUUUUUUCUCCCUGCUAAUUCUUCUUGACAUUUUCAUAUCAUCAGAGUUAACUAUCUUGCCCAUAAAGCCAUUGAGGAUGCAAAAACAUCUGUGAGCCAUGCCCAGUAGUUAAAUGCUUCCCAAAUCAGUAUUAACGGUCAGAGUUUUGUUUUGUUUGUUUCAUGUUUUUAUUUUUUAAGUCUUUAAGCUCAGGGUGGAUUUCUGAUGAGGUGAAUUUAUACUUUGUAAUUACUAGCUUUGUCUGAAACAAAAUGUGAGAGUAAUUAAAUCUGGUUUUCAGAAGAGAAAAUUGUCUGCGAUACAUUGCAACUAUAGGCUCAGAAAUGACACAGGAAACUUUGUGUAAAACAGGAAUGAGGUAAAGGUCAUUCCAUCUGCUGUGAAGGUACUAAAACUAGUCUUGCUGGCCUAUGUGAAAUUCAGAAAAGAGUAGAUUGGAGCAGAAAACUGUACACAAAUACUGAGUAUACUAAAUAUCUUCUAUUCUUGGAAGAAGCAAUAUGGACAACUGAAAAUUGGCACCCAGUAGUGGAAUUACAAAUAUGUAAUUGAUAACUAGAGAUUCUUUGUCAUGACUAACAUUAUAAACUGCUGCAUUCUCUACUUAGUGAGAAGAAGGACAAGCUCCCACAUUGUUUUCAUAUGCAUAAAUUAUAAAACUCGAAGUCUGUCGCAUCAAGUAUUGAAAAUAUAUAUUACAACAGUUGUAGUUUGUUAUUGCAAUGCCUGUUUCACUUGUAGUAGUUUCUGAAAUGAAAAGAAAUCUCUAUUUAAAUUUUCCCAUUACCUUUUACAGUAAAUGCUGCAGCGUACUGUUUUGUACUUUCACUGUCAGAGACUUCCUUGCACAAGGCUGCAUACAUCCAUGUGUUUGGAAAUUUGCUUAUGUAUUCUCUGCCAAGCAGGGUUUCGCUUCUUCUAUAGUGAUCAGAUAUUAGUUUGACUCUGCGUGGAAACGUGAAGUAAAUCAGUGAUGAAUUUUUCCAUAUGUCUUGCACAAAAUCCAGGAAUGAUUAUCUAAUGGAAGCCAGAACACCAGAAAAACAAGUUCUACUGCCAUAUAUUAAAGAAAGAACAGCAGAUAUUAAAUAAAUAAAUGCUAUGAAGUGUUGAACUUAAUAAAAUGAAUUGUUAAGCUGUUUUCUUUUGGAAUUUUCUUUUAUUUGGCAACUGAAUGACUUCAAAUGUGAAAUUAACUUGUUUCACCUAAUUAUGUAACAUCUUUUCUUCAGGGUGUAGAAGCUGCGGAUAUGCAGUUCAGUCUGCGAGCCACCAGGCACCAAAGAUAUGCUGCCCAGUUAAAUCAGAUUUCUUUACAGUUGUGAUCCAAGCCAUGAAGUGGAAACUCAAAAUGUGAGUUGGAAUUUGACAUAGGUUUUCCAUUGUUUGGAACAGUCAGUCAGAAGAGUGAACACUCACUUGUGAGGGAAAGGGAAACAGAGUGUUCCUACAGCAGAUAAAGCAGAGAGGCAUAAAAAUUCCUCAGCCUGGCCUGCAGCUCAACUAAAGAAAAUAGAUGCAGUGCUAGAUACUUGGAAAUUUUCAAGGUACACAGGAUUAAAGGGAACACCUGAGUUCCACAUCUGUUUCUUUUCAAAUGGAAAAUGAAGUGGAGAAAGGUACCUUUUCCUCUGGACUUGCUGACUGCACAGCCUGGCUGAAUGCCCAUCAUACUGCCUUAUCUUGCUCUUGUGUCGGAGUUCAGGCGCUAACAGGUGGUACCAGAUCGAUGCUGAGCAGUACUUCUGGGGAGGUGACACUCCGCCCUAGUACUUUGCUUACUGAUUUUCAGUUUCUCACAUGAAGCAGAAGCUAAUCAUGAUGUCUCAUCAUCAAAGUUAUUUCUCACUGGACUACUCAGAGGUGUUGUUGUCAAACCUUCCCAGCUACAUUGGUUAAUCCAUUCCAAGUGCCAGUAGUUAUCCUGAGCUCCAUGCUGACUGCUAUGACAUGAAACUUCAGAAUCUGUGCACCUCUGAUGUCAUCAGGAGCCAUUGAUGUCAGAGCGGCUUCUGCGCAGCGUGAAGGUCCGUGUCAACUCAUCACAUUACCUCUGCAUGAAAGGUAUCGAUUUAAUCCAUCUGAUGGUAGGCCUCUUAGAAAUGUAAUUGUCCACUGGAAGUACAAUUGUGCAAAUGGACCCAGUAAAAGGCAGCAGUCUUUCAAAGUAAUGUUUUACAUUACUCAGAUCAUUCCUGCUUGUUUUCUUCCUCCACUUG